rnacentral:rRNA from 1 species
GACGAACGCUGGCGGCGUGCUUAACACAUGCAAGUCGAACGGAAAGGCCCUGCUUGCCGGGUGCUCGAGUGGCGAACGGGUGAGUAACACGUGGGUGAUCUGCCCCUUACUUUGGGAUAAGCCUGGGAAACUGGGUCUAAUACUGGAUAGGACCAUGCUGUAGGGGGUGUGGUGGAAAGAUUAGUUUCGGUAAGGGAUGAGCUCGCGGCCUAUCAGCUUGUUGGUGGGGUAAUGGCCUACCAAGGCGUCGACGGGUAGCCGGCCUGAGAGGGUGGACGGCCACAUUGGGACUGAGAUACGGCCCAGACUCCUACGGGAGGCAGCAGUGGGGAAUAUUGCACAAUGGGCGCAAGCCUGAUGCAGCGACGCCGCGUGGGGGAUGACGGCCUUCGGGUUGGAAACUCCUUUCAGCCAUGACGAAGCCCUUGUGGUGACGGUAGUGGUAGAAGAAGCACCGGCUAACUACGUG